rnacentral:rRNA from 1 species
GACGAACGCUGGCGGCGUGCUUAACACAUGCAAGUCGAACGGAAAGGCCCUGCUUUUGUGGGGUGCUCGAGUGGCGAACGGGUGAGUAACACGUGAGUAACCUGCCCUUGACUUUGGGAUAACUUCAGGAAACUGGGGCUAAUACCGGAUAGGAGCUCCUGCUGCAUGGUGGGGGUUGGAAAGUUUCGGCGGUUGGGGAUGGACUCGCGGCUUAUCAGCUUGUUGGUGGGGUAGUGGCUUACCAAGGCUUUGACGGGUAGCCGGCCUGAGAGGGUGACCGGCCACAUUGGGACUGAGGUACGGCCCAGACUCCUACGGGAGGCAGCAGUGGGGAAUAGUGCACAAUGGGCGGAAGCCUGAUGCAGCAACGCCGCGUGCGGGAUGACGGCCUUCGGGUUGUAAACCGCUUUCGCCUGUGACGGAGCGUGAGUGACGGUAAUGGGUAAAGAAGCACCGGCUAACUACGUG